rnacentral:rRNA from 1 species
UACGGAGGGUGCGAGCGUUGUCCGGAAUCAUUGGGCGUAAAGGGCGCGUAGGCGGCCUGGUCAGCGUGCGGUGAAAGCUCGGGGCUCAACCCCGAGUCGGCCGUGCGAACUGCUGGGCUCGAGCACUGUAGAGGCAGGCGGAAUUCCGGGUGUAGCGGUGGAAUGCGUAGAGAUCCGGAAGAACACCGGUGGCGAAGGCGGCCUGCUGGGCAGUAGCUGACACUGAGGCGCGACAGCGUGGGGAGCAAACAGG